GUAGGUGGCAAGCGUUGUCCGGAAUUAUUGGGCGUAAAGCGCGCGCAGGCGGUUCUUUAAGUCUGAUGUGAAAGCCCACGGCUCAACCGUGGAGGGUCAUUGGAAACUGGAGGACUUGAGUACAGAAGAGGAAAGCGGAAUUCCACGUGUAGCGGUGAAAUGCGUAGAGAUGUGGAGGAACACCAGUGGCGAAGGCGGCUUUCUGGUCUGUAACUGACGCUGAGGCGCGAAAGCGUGGGGAGCAAACAGGGAUUAGAUACCCUGGUAGUCCACGCCGUAAACGAUGAGUGCUAAGUGUUAGGGGGGUUUCCGCCCCCUUAGUGCUGCAGCUAACGCAUUAAGCACUCCGCCUGGGGAGUACGGCCGCAAGGCUG
rnacentral:rRNA from 1 species